UACGUAGGGGGCUAGCGUUGUCCGGAAUCAUUGGGCGUAAAGAGCGUGUAGGCGGUCCGGUAAGUCCGCUGUGAAAGUCAAAGGCUCAACCUUUGAAAGCCGAUGGAUACUGUGAGGCUAGAGUCCGGAAGAGGCGAGUGGAAUUCCUGGUGUAGCGGUGAAAUGCGCAGAUAUCAGGAGGAACACCGAUGGCGAAGGCAGCUCGCUGGGACGGUACUGACGCUGAGACGCGAAAGCGUGGGGAGCAAACAGG
rnacentral:rRNA from 1 species